UUGCCUUUUGAGAACACGACCGGCGCACGAGUGACUCCGAGCUGCCGGGGAGGCGCUGCCCCCUCGGCCCCGCCGGCCACGAACGCGUGUGCCCUCCGGGGCGUGCCGGGCGUGGUUCGGAAACAGGGCGCGGUACGUCGCCAAGGAGCACACAUCUGCCGGGCGGACGGCGAUGCUUCGGCGUCGCGCGGUCCGUCGAGGCCGAGCUAGUACUAGUACGACGAGAGGACUCCCGGCAACGGAUAUCUCGGCUCUCGCAUCGAUGAAGAACGUAGCGAAAUGCGAUACAUGGUGUGAAUUGCAGAAUCCCGUGAACCAUCGAGUCUUUGAACGCAAGUUGCGCCCGAGGGACCCUCCCGAGGGCACGCCUGCCUCAUGGGCGUUAGAAGCCCAUCCACGCUCGGCGCGAGCGUCCCGCGCGCGCCGGUGCGGACACUGGCCCUCCGAGCCGCGAGGCACGACGGGCACAAGCGUACGGCCGUCGGCUGAGGCCGGGAGCGGCGAGUGGUGGGCUGCUGCGCACGCCGCCUCCGGACCGGAUGCCGGCAGAGGGCCCGGUCGGACCCCGAAACGAGGAGCCCGCCGUCCCGUGCGGCGGCUCCGGACCGAU
rnacentral:rRNA from 1 species